AGCAAAUAAAACUUUAAAUAUACUUUACACAACAAAGAAGAAGUUUUUUUGAUUUUUCUCAAGGUAGUUGAAGAUUUGAAUGAGCACUUGAGAGGUUGGUGAACUUGAAAUGAAAGCUUCUUUUGCUUGAAGAGUGCUUUUUCCUUAGGGCUGAAAUGAAUGCUUGAAAACUUAUAUAUAUAUUUUUUUUCUCCUUCAAGUGCCUUUAUAUCUUCAAUGGAUGCUAGAGAGUGAUCUGGGCA
rnacentral:lncRNA from 1 species